rnacentral:sRNA from 1 species
UAGAUGUUUCACCAGCAUCAUACCUUAGCACAUGCCUCGCGUUCUUCCCAGAAAGUCAGCCCUGGGACCAGGUGGGCUGGUAAAGUCCUCAGUGCCGGGCCCUGUGCCUGUUGCAUGAGCCUGUGUCACUGUGACUGUGGAAGUUGGAGCUAGUGAGAGGAGGAGGAGGUGGGCAGGGGAAGGAGGGUCCCCUGGGCUCGGGCUCCACAUCAGUCCUGAGCUGCUGGCAAGCACCCCUGGCCUGCAGCCAGGGAGAGCCAGAGCCUUUGCCAGGCAGCGAGCCUCCGUGCCUUCCACUCCUAGGUCAGGUUUUGACAGCACCACUUUAUUACUUUGUUUAAGCUGUUAGAAAAUUUCAGAACAUCAGACACACCCUAUUUAAAUGUGAGAACAAAAACACCUUCCAGCAGUGCCUGCUUCUGGAACAGGACUCCUCCUGCGGAACAGGGUUUUGCUCAAUGACUACCUCCCCGGUCAUGCUGCUGUCCAGUGAGCAGCCGGGCCAGAGCUUGUCGGACCGCAGUGUGUUCUCUGCUAGAUGCGGCAGCUGUGACUCAGGGGGAAUGGGGGCUGCAUGCCUGCUCCUGACACACCUCUGCCCGUUGUGCUUUGCAGGUCUUUUAUCAGAAAUCACCGAUCCAGAGAGCUUCCUGAAGGACCUGUUGAACUCAGUCCCCUGACCACCACACAGCAGCUGCGGCGGCGAAGACGAAGCUGGCUUGCCUUCCACCCUCUGUUCUCCCUCCUUGUGCAUUGAGUUCCCUCCGCGGGAUGCUGCAUUGUUAUCCCGCCCUCCCCUCUCUCAUUUUUCUUGGUGUGGCUUGGGGUUUUUAGGCUUCCUGUUUUAUCUUGUGUGUGUGGUGCACUAGCUAUGAGGUUGUCUGUAACCCAAGCCAUCAAGGGGCCUGUACAUACCUAGGAGCCAUGAGUUGUCCCGGCCAACUUCAUACUUGAGUGUGCACAUCUUGAGAAAUAAACAAGUGACUUAACACACAUUGAAAAAGAAGGUGUUGCCUGCUGCUUCAACUCGUCCUCAGUGGCGCAGGCCAAAUGGUUUCCCUUGAAUGCACAGCCAUUUCCGGCGUCAGCCCGGGAAGACUCAUGUCAGACCCGCUGUCUCCAGGCCUGUUGUCAGCGCUAAGUGCUACCUGUCUAUUCUUGGCCAGCAAGUUGGGGCACCACAUUGGAUGGCUCUGAUUUUUCCCAAAACAAAGCCCAUGCCUUGCUCUUAACUUUUUGGCCUUAAGAGCUGGAACCCAAAGACACGUGGAGCCCAGAGCUUUCCUAGCCCUCGGCUGAAGGAAGGCUCGCGGAGUAGGGCACAGUUUUGUUGGACCACAGAGGCCUGGGGAGCAUUUGACAUUCUCAUGCUGCUGUGAAUCGGGAAUCCCUUGGUGACUUCUCUCCAGGGUUGUCAUGUUAAGAGAGGGCCUGGGGCAGACUUAGGAUCAGGAUAAAGAGAGUGGCUGCUAUUGACAUUGCCAAGCACCCAGUGUACCUUAUUUCUAAUCUCUUCGCCCAUGAGCCAGAGCCGCUUGCCCAAGGGCUCCCAGCCAGGGGCUGUGGAGUUGUCAGGUUUGUGCCUCCGAAGCUGUGUCCUGACCACUGUGGCUGCCGCUCCUGGAGGCCUCAGACCUGCUCCCCUACACACGUGGGCAGCAGGACUCCCGAGGGCCUCUCCCCAGACUUCGGGAGAAGGCUCACCUCGUGGGAGGGAGGGCUCGCUCAUGCCCGUCUCCUUUCGUUCUUUGCGGGCCACUCAGCCAACUGACGUCGGCCUCUCCUGUCUGGAUGUCCAGUUUCUGUGGCUCACUCCUCAAACCAGAUCGUCUGGGACUGAGGGUGGCCUCUGGGCUCCUGUAGACUUCCACAGCCAGGAUUUCACAUCCCUCCCCAGAGCCUCCGACCGCACAGCCACAAGCAGCCAUGAGUGUCAUGCCUGGACUAAGCUGGAGAGACAAAGGCGUUUGUGGCAAGGGCCCAGCUGGAAGCCCUGGCAGGCCAGAGCAUGCAUGUGCUGGCUUGCACGAGCACACUUUGGUGUUUGUGUUGGGGACACCGGGCUUCUGAGGGACUGGCGUGGCUCCAGGGAGGGGAGCAGCCUGGUUGAAGCGCGGCCAGGCACUCACUCUGUUGUUCAGAUCCCAGCUCCACUGCCUGCUGUGUCCACAGUCUCCUCACCUGUCAAAUGGGAAUAUCUAUGUGGCGGGAGGGUGCUGAGGUUUCCACGAGCUAAUCUGCCUGCUGUGUAGUAACUAGUAGCUUUUCUUACUGUUAGUGAACUUGUUUUAGUCUGAAGGAAGGCACCCAUGCCCCAGGUGAAGUCCAGGUGAGUUCAGUGAUGACGAUGGAGACCCUGGUCUUGGCACCCUUCCGCCUUACACUGGGAAUGCCUCAGGCUUGCCCCUGCUGUGUGUCUGUGGUUGCCCACUUUCUGCUGGUCUCUGAGAGACCGAUUCAGGUGUUCAGGAGUCUGUUCGCUAUUACAUCACCUCCUUGUGAGAAAUAAAGUGGAGCAGCCUCAUCCAGACAGCGAAGCAAGGAGGGAGUGUGAGGAGCAGCCAGGUGAGCUGGUGGCAUGGGGCCGCCUGUGCAGAGGCCGGCCUUGCUGCUUCAUGUGGCUCAGGGAGGCUCAGCACGUCCGUCAUCGCACCUCAGGGCAGCAAGAGUGGACCUGGUGCCUUCAGAAGCCCACCCGAGGCCUGUUGCUCUGGCCUGCAAAGGGGGAGUCACCAAAGCUCAUUACAAGGUGUUUGCUUAUUUUUGUCUGCCCUGCAUUUUUUUAUUUCUUGCAAAGGCCUCAGAGGAUGUGGGCCCCAGCCCAAACACAUCUUGUUUUCACUGGUAGAGCUUUUCCUAGUGUCUGCACAGGGGAGCUUCCAGUGGCUCUGCCAUAGCCCCAGACAAGCUGCUGACACGGCAGCCAUGAGGUCUGGGACAGGUUCCAGGGGGUGCUUUUGGCCUGCUCCAGCAGGAGUGGAGGCUGGACUGGGCUCCAGCAGGAGUGGAGGCUGGACUGGGCUCCAGCAGGAGUGGAGGCUGGACUGGGCUCCAGCAGGAGUGGAGGCUGGACUGGUCUCCAGCAGGAGUGGAGGCUGGACUGGGCUCCAGCAGGAGUGGAGGCUGGUCUGGGGAGAGAGCUACACCUCCCCAGGCCCAGGUCUCACGAAAGGAGCAUUGAAGGGCACCGAGGAAAAAGCCACUUAGCCCUCUUCUGUCCUGCACCAUUAUCUGGGCCCAUUGGUUCUUGGGUCCCUGUCUUUCUCAACAGGCAGCCCCAGUUGGGGAAUUAAGUUGAUUCUGGACUGGCUAUGCCUAAUGAUAGCUGCAAUUUUAAACCCAUAAAGUUCGAGUUCAGCAAUAAAGUUGGGGAGGCAGUGUCAACACCUUCCUUGUAGAACGGC